CUUCAGAGAAAAUGAUUUCUCAAUCAUUUUUCCCUAAUUCAGAGAUGAUAAAAUACAGCUGAGGCUUCUCAUGGAACUGAGAUAUCGAGAGAAUCAGAGAUUAAUAGCAGAAAUUGUGAGAUGAUGAAGUUGUAGUUGUUGCCAUCAAUUGAAGCAAGAAAUUCGAGAAGGUAGGGUUUGAUGUUGAAGAAUAGGGAUCCAAAGUUACAGUGAGAUGGAUCUGUUGAUGGUGAAAUCGAGAAGAACAAGCUGCUAAAUGAUGAAUCGAAGGUGGGUUUUGCGAUUUUUAGUCUGUUGAUGAAUCAGAGAUGGGGUUUGGACCGAAUCGAUUAAUGAAGAAUUUGGGGUUUUUACUAUCCAAGAUUACAAGAACUGGAAGCUGUUUCCAUCGAUUCAGUGAUGAAGAAGCCGAUGUGGGAUUGAAUCUAAGCAGAAAAUGGUGGUGAAUUGGGUUAAUCUUGACUCAAGGUUGUAGUUUAAUUUGCAGGUCGAUUUGGGUAUGGAAAUGGUGGUCUGUUGGUAAGAGUUCAGGGCUUAACUGGAGCUGAUUUGAGGCAAGUCUAUAGCUGAUUCAAUGUGGAAUUUUGGGCAAGAUUUGGCAGGGAAGAAAUAUAUGGAGGUUUACAAAUUCAGUUGCAAGUGUACCCUGUCAUCAUCAGCAAAACACAUACCAGGGCUUGGAGCUGGUUUUGAAGACAAGGAAGAGCUAGGUACAGAGAUGGCUUGAUGUUGGUGGUUUUGGCUUGAACCUGGAGGUGAUAUGGCGAGUUGUUGAGCUGAAUUACCAGCUGUGAACUGAUGGUUUGGAAGAGAGUGAAGCUUUGUGCUAUAUUUCAGUCGAGACGGUGCCAGUGAUUGUUGCAGGAAAGAGUUGUUGUUGGUUCUUAAAAUAAUGAAGUUGUUGAUGCCAUAUUGAGUUCAAUGGAACAGGGAAGAAGAACUGAAGCAUUUGCAGUGAAGGCAGGGUCUGAUGCACAAGGGUAUGGAACUAUGAACUAAUGCCGCAGUUUGCUGGUGAUGGCAAUUGAAGGAUAAGCUGAACUAAAGUACUAAUGUAGAUGAAUUAGGUUGGCGGUACUGAUGCUGAGCAAUGAACUGGUAAUGAAGCUACAAAAGGAACUGAUGAUGUUGGUAGAGUUGUGUGCUGCUGCCUAUGAAUUACUGAGGCAAUUGUGACUUCGGGUGAGAAAUGGCUAGGUGUAGCUGAAGUUGUUGCUGGAACUUGGCCUGGCAGAGAAGUAGAAGUAGCUUGAGCUUGUGGUGUUGAAUGUUUUAGAUGAAUGCGGCAGUGGACUGGAUGUGUUUAGAGUUGCAAGAGCUACAGUUGCAGUCAAGCUACAGAAGGUGCAGGCAUUGCAACAUUGCAUCUGAAGCAGGGAUGAAUCUGAAGCUGCAAUGAAACUUCAAGAAUGGUGAAUUGCAGAUGCAGCUCAGCUGAUGUUGUUGAUGUUGUUGGUGUUUGGCAGAAGAGUCAAGAAGAGUUGGUGGUGGUAUUAUUGUAUGAUGUUCUGCGUUUGCAGCUAUUGCAGCUGAAUUGAAGUCUUAUUACAGAUGUUCAUGGAAUGGAAUGAAAUAGUGGUAGUGAUGGCAGUGAUUGCAGGCAUAGAAGCUGCAGAUGAUGCAGUUCAAGUACAGCUGAGAUGAAGUAUAGAUGGACCUAGACCGAGCUGAUAUGAGAGCUGUAAUGGAGAAGCAAGAGAAAUGGAAGCGGUAUUGCAGUUGUGCUUGAAGUUAUUUGAGGUGGUUAUCUGUGUUGGUGACAAUGAAGUGCAGGUAAUGGAAGUAAAGAAGCAGCUGAUGUUGAAUUGGAGAGAAUGGAAGAGCCAAGAUGGCAGCAAAGUUAUGCACAACCGAGAUGGCUGGCUAAGGAGCUAUUAUGCACAAUGAUUGUGCAGCAGAAGAUAUGGCCAGUGCAAGACUAUGGCCUGAGUCGCCUGACAAGUCAGACCAGUUAGACUCUGACUCAACUGAGUUGUUUGACUCAGCCUCUGACUCGGUCUGACUGUGACCGAGUUGACCCGUCUGACCUUGACCGAGUUGAACCGUUUGACCGGUGGCCAGGCGGACUUUGCCGGUCACCUGAGAUACUUCUCCGGCGACUUUUCUGGCCAACUUCCGUCCAUUUCCGACAACGAUUUGGUAGAGUUUCUACAUGGAUUUUUCUCACUUUUGGGCCACGUGGAUUUUUAUCUAAUGGACUUUGAAGACUUUGACCUAAUUUUGGAACAAGAGGAGCUAUAAAAGAGAAGAUUUCUACAACUUUUAAUGACGUAUUAUUCUCGGAGCUAAGGAGAGAACCGUUUUUGUUUACACAACUAGGGUUUGCUUUCGUAUUUAUUUUUCAUCUUCUUUAUUGAUUAUUGAUUAUGAUGAACUCCAUAGCUAUGAGUAGCUAAUUUCUUUAUUAUGGGUUAAGGAUGUAGUCCCA